rnacentral:rRNA from 1 species
CCUACGGGAGGCAGCAGUGAGGAAUAUUGGUCAAUGGACGAGAGUCUGAACCAGCCAAGUAGCGUGAAGGAUGACUGCCCUAUGGGUUGUAAACUUCUUUUAUAUGGGAAUAAAAUGUUCCACGUGUGGGAUUUUGUAUGUACCAUAUGACUAAGGAUCGGCUAACUCCGUGCCAGCAGCCGCGGUAAUACGAAGGAUACGAGCGUUAUCCGGAUUUAUUGGGUUUAAAGGGAGCGUAGGUGGAUUGUUAAGUCAGUUGUGAAAGUUUGCGGCUCAACCGUAAAAUUGCAGUUGAAACUGGCAGUCUUGAUUACAGUAGAGGUGGGCGGAAUUCGUGGUGUAGCGGUGAAAUGCUUAGAUAUCACGAAGAACUCCGAUUGCGAAGGCAGUUCACUGGACUGCAACUGACACUGAGGCUCGAAAGUGUGGGUAUCAAACAGGAUUAGAUACCCCGGUAGUC